GCUAAUAAUCAAGAAAGAAUGUUUUGGAUGAAGGUCUUACUUUGACCUUCCUCAAAAAAUGGCCCAAGUUACUCAUGUGGGCAGCAGUGAGGUAGUGCAUCCCCUGCUCCUCUGCUACAUGGUUUAUACAAUAUAUGGAAGGCAAGAAAUCGGCAUCAAAUUGAUGAUGUGCUGCAAAUGAGCAACUCAAACCUUCAUGACAAACACAACCCUUCUCAAUCAGCUCAUUGGGAAUCCACGGCAUUCUCUUGCCACCCCUUUAACCACUCUCUUCCUGUAUCUUGGCAUCCUCUGCAGUUCGGUAGGCUGAAGGUUAAUUUAUAGCCGGAGCUAAUUGUCUCGUUAGAAGCCAUUGUGGUCAGACACCAUGCGCUGUUUGAUUUUGUUUUAUUGCUACUACUGAUCCCCUGGCUGAGUUGAGAAGACCAUAGGCAGGCUUCAACUUGCCUUUGCAUCACUUCUUGGCCACUAGAAUUUGGAUGGAGGGUGAUUCAUGUGAACCCGAACUAGGCCCUAUCCAUUGACCGGCCGGGAAUGGCCCAAAGGUCCAUUGCGAGUUACAAACAGGGCAGAGCCUUGCUCGAACACGAAGAGAAGGAGGCACCAUAUAAUGAACCCCAACCCUCCCUUCAAGCCACCACCAAUUGUUGUUGAUUUUGCCGUCAAUUUCAAGGCAAAAUUUAUUCGUUUCACCGUCUAUCUCCUAUCCGAUCCACCAUCACGAGGCCUCACAGAGAGUUGGGUAGCAGUGCUGCCACCUUUGCCUGAUCUUGCCCUCCAUCAAACCACCAUCAUUGGCUGAGAGCACAUUGUCCCAUUAAGAAUGCUCGCAUGUUAAGCUGUUUGGGUGCACCAUGACAGCAUGUGGAGCUGAAAAUCCAGUGACCUCUCCAUAAUCAGAUCCCGUGCCAGCUCUAGAUUAAAGGGAACAAUUAGCCAGCAUCAUUAUGCCAUGCCAUCACAUCAGGGUACCCAUAAGGGUGUAAAGCUGAGCCCCAACAGCCCUCGUAAGUCGCUCUCUCAUCCUGCAUGCAAGAAGUGGGAUCAGCUGCUGGUAGAUUCUCCCCUCGAUGCCUCCAUGGCACGAAGGCAUCUUGAUGCAUUUGUCUGCUAUGGUAUGCUGAGUCCGCAUCAUGCACAUGAAAAGUUCUCUUAUGCCAUAUGCCAUGCAUGAGCAGGACCAAGCAACUUUCCCUUGUUCUACUAGUAAGUGGCGACGCCUACAGACAUGGACAAGUUGUUCUCCACUGAGAAUUCGCAGGUAAAACGUUCCUCCAGACCGUGUAGCCUAGAGAACCAGGAACUCCCUUUUGGGCCCAAAGGCUGAUAAAUUAAAGGAGCAGCAUUGUGGAAGUUGGGAAAGGUUGCAGCAGUCAUGUACCAGUGAAGCUGUUUCAUCUUAGGAUUGGUGGUGCCAAUGGGUGAAUCUGGAUGACCAAACAAAAGAGGUUGUGACAGGAUCUGGCCGUGGAUUCCAACAGUGGAAACAUAGAUAUGCGUUUCUCCCCAGUUAAUGCAUUUGCAGCCUUGUUGGCCUGCGCGAAGUUCAAAAGGAGGGGGGAGUUCAGGAUCAGGAGGAGGAGCAGCAGCAACAGAGCUCGGUGCUUUAGUGGAGUUGGACCCCUACAUGCCCACACUUUCAAAUCAGCAAGGCGUAUGUACUUUUGGAUCUUGUAGUGGCCUGCAAAUUAAAGGGGUGGUCCGACCCACGCACCAUCUCAGACUCAGCUGGCUCUUUAUCUCUCUCUCUCUCUCUCUCGCUUCUCGUGGAGUCGUGGUGUGUGUGUUUGUUUUCCUUGUCCAAGUAUGAUGCUUCGUUAUCAUCUAGAUUAUCCUUUGCUUGCUUU